UCAACUGUAUGAUUUGAUGAUGGGUAAAUUAAUGUGGUAGUAGAAGCAAAAUAAGAUAGAUGUCCUAAUCUUAUCGGUCUAGAGACGGAAAAAACGUGUAAAGUGGCAGAGAGGUUAACAACGGAUCAAGAUAGGAAUGGAGAUGGAUUAGAGACCUAGAGUCGAAGGCAAGUUGCGGGAAUGGCAAGAGUGCCAAUGAACUAUAGCGGAAGUGUCUCUGUCAUCUGAGAGAGACAUGUGGAAAUGAACCGGUGAUGAUUAGGGUAUCUUUUCGGUUAAAUCAGUAAAGAAAAUGAAGGAAGACGAUAGGGGGACGGUAUGUUGAAUAUUUUUUAAUAGAUUGGGUGCCCCUUAAAUGCAACAUCAUGGCUUUGAGGGCUAACUUUGAUUAGUUUGGUGUAGUAUUUAUUCACGUUAUUGUUGGUAUGAUAACUUUGGUUUUGCUCUAA
rnacentral:lncRNA from 1 species